ACCUUGCCUAGUUCGACGGAACGAAAAGCCGGCUUCCUUCACCGGCCUGGCAAGGCUCUUCUAAUGAAGG
rnacentral:sRNA from 1 species